rnacentral:rRNA from 1 species
UAACGCGUGGGUGACCUGCCCCAUACCGGGGGAUAACAGCUGGAAACGGCUGCUAAUACCGCAUAAGCGCACAGAGCUGCAUGGCUCGGUGUGAAAAACUCCGGUGGUAUGGGAUGGGCCCGCGUCUGAUUAGGCAGUUGGCGGGGUAACGGCCCACCAAACCGACGAUCAGUAGCCGGCCUGAGAGGGCGACCGGCCACAUUGGGACUGAGACACGGCCCAAACUCCUACGGGAGGCAGCAGUGGGGAAUAUUGCACAAUGGGGGAAACCCUGAUGCAGCGACGCCGCGUGAGCGAAGAAGUAUUUCGGUAUGUAAAGCUCUAUCAGCAGGGAAGAUAAUGACGGUACCUGACUAAGAAGCCCCGGCUAACUACGUGCCAGCAGCCGCGGUAAUACGUAGGGGGCAAGCGUUAUCCGGAUUUACUGGGUGUAAAGGGAGCGUAGACGGCAAGGCAAGUCUGAUGUGAAAACCCAGGGCUUAACCCUGGGACUGCAUUGGAAACUGUCUGGCUCGAGUGCCGGAGAGGUAAGCGGAAUUCCUAGUGUAGCGGUGAAAUGCGUAGAUAUUAGGAAGAACACCAGUGGCGAAGGCGGCUUACUGGACGGUAACUGACGUUGAGGCUCGAAAGCGUGGGAGCAAACAGGAUUAGAUACCCUGGUAGUCCACGCCGUAAACGAUGAAUGCUAGGUGU